rnacentral:rRNA from 1 species
UACAGAGGUCUCGAGCGUUGUUCGGAUUCACUGGGCGUAAAGGGUGCGUAGGUGGUGAGGUACGUCGGAUGUGAAAGCUCGGAGCUCAACUCCGAAAUGGCAUUGGAAACUACCUUGCUCGAGGGUUGGAGGGGGGACUGGAAUGCUUGGUGUAGCAGUGAAAUGCGUAGAUAUCAAGCGGAACACCAGUGGUGAAGGCGAGUCCCUGGACAACUCCUGACACUGAGGCACGAAAGCUAGGGGAGCAAACAGG